AGGAAAUGAAGUUAGCAAGUGGGGGAGUGUAAAUAGCAAAACGGUUGAAAAACUGCAACUUUAUUUGAGUAUUUUUGUCUGUAAAGUUGAACGCGGUCUGCAAUGCUGUGCCUGAAGCAGAAACUGUGCAGAAAAAGGCGAAUGAAAAUAAUGCAGAAACUGGAAAUUUGGAAGACUAGAGCAUGGACAAACGUUAAUAGUGACAUAUCAAAUAGAGAAUAUAACGCUUCAUAGUGAUCACGGGAACUUUCUAUACAGU
rnacentral:lncRNA from 1 species